rnacentral:rRNA from 1 species
UGGGGAAUAUUGGACAAUGGGCGCAAGCCUGAUCCAGCAAUGCCGCGUGUGUGAAGAAGGCCUUCGGGUUGUAAAGCACUUUUAUCAGGAGCGAAACGCUGUCGGCUAAUACCCGGCGGAACUGACGGUACCUGAGGAAUAAGCACCGGCUAACUUCGUGCCAGCAGCCGCGGUAAUACGAAGGGUGCAAGCGUUAAUCGGAAUUACUGGGCGUAAAGCGUGCGUAGGCGGUUUCUUAAGUCUGCUGUGAAAUCCCCGGGCUCAACCUGGGAAUGGCAGUGGAUACUGGGAGGCUAGAGUGUGUCAGAGGGUGGUGGAAUUCCCGGUGUAGCGGUGAAAUGCGUAGAGAUCGGGAGGAACAUCAGUGGCGAAGGCGGCCACCUGGGACAACACUGACGCUGAGGCACGAAAGCGUGGGGGAGCAAACAGGAUUAGAUACCCUGGUAGUCCACGCCCUAAAGCGAUGCGAACUGGAUGUUGGUCUCAACUCGGAGAUCAGUGUCGAAGCUAACGCGUUAAGUUCGCCGCCUGGGGAGUACGGUCGCAAGACUGAAACUCAAAUGAAUUGACGGGGUCAUAGCUGUUUCC